rnacentral:rRNA from 1 species
UAAGGAAUAUUGGACAAUGGAGGCAACUCUGAUCCAGCCAUGCCGCGUGAAGGAAUAAGGCCCUAUGGGUUGUAAACUUCUUUUAGACGGGACAAAACCCCUUUACGUGUAAAGGGUUGAUGGUACUGUCAGAAUAAGCAUCGGCUAACUUCGUGCCAGCAGCCGCGGUAAUACGAAGGAUGCAAGCGUUAUCCGGAAUUAUUGGGUUUAAAGGGUGCGUAGGCGGACUAAUAAGUCAGUGGUGAAAGCCUGCAGCUUAACUGCAGAAUUGCCAUUGAUACUGGUAGUCUUGAGUACAGUUGAGGUAGGCGGAAUGUGUCAUGUAGCUGUGAAAUGCUUAGAUAUGACACAGAACACCCAUUACGAAGGCAGCUUGCUAAGCUGUAACUGACGCUGAGGCACGAAAGCGUGGGGAGCAAACA